rnacentral:rRNA from 1 species
UACGUAGGGGGCCAGCGUUGCUCGGAAUAACUGGGCGUAAAGGGUUCGUAGGCGGUGCGGCAAGUUGGGAGUGAAAUCUCUGGUCUUAACUCAGAGACUGCUUUCAAAACUGCCGUGCUAGAGUGCGGGAGAGGCCAGUGGAAUUGCAGGUGUAGCGGUGAAAUGCGUAGAUAUCUGCAGGAACACCCGUGGCGAAGGCGGCUGGCUGGGCCGCAACUGACGCUGAGGAACGAAAGCUAGGGGAGCAAACAGG